GACGAACGCUGGCGGCGUGCUUAACACAUGCAAGUCGAACGAUGAAGAAGAGAAACGCGCCCUUCGGUUCAAAUUUCACUUCGGAUUAGUGGCAGACGGGUGAGUAACGCGUGAGCAACCUACCUCUUACAAAGGGAUAGCCUCGGGAAACCGGAGCUAAUACCGGAUAAUAUAUUGAACCGCAUGGUUCAAUAGUGAAAGACGGUUUUGCUGUCACUUAUAGAUGGAUCCGCGCCGCAUUAGCUAGUUGGUAAGGUAACGGCUUACCAAGGCAACGAUGCGUAGCCGACCUGAGAGGGUGAUCGGCCACACUGGAACUGAGACACGGUCCAGACUCCUACGGGAGGCAGCAGUAGGGAAUCUUCCGCAAUGGGCGAAAGCUUGACGGAGCAACGCCGCGUGAGUGAUGAAGGUCUUCGGAUCGUAAAACUCUGUUAUUAGGGAAGAACAAAUGUGUAAGUAACUAUGCACGUCUUGACGGUACCUAAUCAGAAAGCCACGGCUAACUACGUG
rnacentral:rRNA from 1 species